GAGACCCAACAAAUCCCACCAUGAGCAAGCAUUUGGCAACUGUGGCAAGGAAAAACUUCCUUUAAGAGGCAGAAACCUUGGACAGAACCAGACUCAAUGGUGGGCGGCCAUACGCCGUUACCAUGUUAGGUAACCAUAUUGUUUGUUAAUGAGCUAUAUUUCUAACAUGUUUUGGCCUGUGCAUUAUGAGGGUGGGUCUGGAUCAGGGUUGAUAAAUGCACAGGCCAAACUGCUAAAACUGCAUUUACUGUAGCAGAAAAACAUUCAGCUCAAGAAAUAUUUCAACAGUGACACAUUUUUUUGUUAUUUUGGCUCUGUACACCACCACAGUCAAUCUGAAAUAAAACAAUUAGUAUGUGCUUGCAGUACAGACUUUCAGCUAUAAUUUAAGGGUAAUGACAGCAAUAUUGGAUGGAUGGGAGGCACAGUUCUCCUGUAUCCUCUGUGACGACACCUGCCAGCCGUGGCCUCACCUCCUUCAGCACUAUGAGGAUCAGCUCAUAACAACCAAGACUGCCACAGAUCAGAUGCUGCAGCACCAGUUUAACAGUCAAUUAACAAACCCAGACAGACCCUGGACCACACAUGGACACAUUCUACUUCCUGCUAGUGCCAGUCAUUCUUCAAAGCAGAGGAUGAGAUAACACCUGCCAGCAUUUGCUUCACCUUCUCUCUGGCUCUGAGACACUGGAUCAGCUCAUUACAACCAAGACAUCAUGCUGCCACAAUCCUACCAGAUCCUGCAGCACAAUCUUUACUGUCAACCAACAGCGGCCCCAUCACUACUGGACCCUACAUAGACAUUUGUUCCCCCGUCAGUGCUGAGGUUUCUUCACAACAGAGCAUAAGGUCGUCCACUGUGAAACCUCCACUUCAUAAUGGAUACACUCAGGACUGCACAGUGACUAAACAUGUCAAAGAAGCUAAACAUCAUGCAGCCGUCCAAACCCUCUCUGUGUGAAAUGGCACUGGACAGAAGAUGGUUUCCUGCCCUGGAGGAGUGUUCAAGGUAUUUUAUUAUUUUGAACAUGUUUUGUUUCAUAGUCUUGAGUUUAUUACAACAACUUUGUUAUCUCUUGUCAGGACCAGCUCCAUUCUCCCACCUCCACAUCGCCAUCUGUGCAUCCAUUGCUGUACACACUUCAGUUCAGUAUAGCCUAACUACUGCUGAUCUUUUGGCAAGUGCUCAGGUGUAUUGCUGCAUGGAAACAAACAGCUGCAGAUCAGUCAGUCAUCACUUUCAGAGUGAUAGUUCCUCCUCGGUGCAGCAUCAAGCUCCUCCCUAAACAAGUUGUAAAAAGGUAACUUUUUUUUCUUUUUUUUUUAACUCCCUUAGUACAAGAUCCCUCUUUGACCAACCAACUAACAAAAACACAGUUGGCAUUACAAUUUGAACAUGCUAUUUGCAUUAACAACUGCAGGAAUGUCAGAAAUAAAGUUUCUCACAGCAGUUCUACAGCCACUUGAAAUGUCAAAGGUCAUGGUACAGCCCUUUACAUAUUCACACUGACACAGUUCAGUAGACAGUUUUGGUUUGUAUUUCAGAUCAGUUAGUUCAGUUGCUACAUGCAUUUGAACUAAUUAACCUUUGAAAAGAGUAUAGAUAUUUAAAAUAGCAUUUGUAUAUCAGACUCCAGUCAGACAAGACAACGUUGGACUCCCGAUUACAACCCCACAAUCUUCGUUUUCCAAGACUCCCUGUCUCUUAGACCUGCUUAGUCUGCACUCCGGUGAGAGAUUCUCCGACUCCUGAACUGUCUCCUCAGCCGAUUAAGGACGGUAUCCACACUCUGGUGUGUCUGCUAGUUUGCCUGCAGUUUGCCUCAUUGCUGUGUCGUAAAAUAAACCUUGCUUUCUCCAUCUUGGUGCCUCCAGCCUAUCUGUGCGUAACAGCUUGCUUUUCAUCAGUUUUUGUAUUGUAAUAUAAACUGAAGAAAUGUGGGUUCAUCAACUACUGUAGCAACGCUCUGUUAACAUACAUCCAGCUUCGUGUGAGUCUUCUACUAAAUACUACUGUCUAAGUGUAGCUUACAGGUAGGAACACUAGUCGCUGCUGUCCUCUGGUGGUCUGGAGUAUUAAUAACUCCUAUGAGUCAUAAUGGGUACAAUGAUAGAUCAAAUUUGACAGUUGUCACUAAAAUAAUAUAGCUACAUGUGUGCAUUAUAAGAUAAUUGAAACAGACAUUUAAAAGUAAAGCAAAAGUUACUUUCCCUAGUAAUUAAUUAUUUUUAUAUGCAGUAAUUGGUAAAGUAUUUACUUUUGAGAUUAGUAACUAGUACCUAACUAAUUACUAUAUUUCAGUAACUUGCACAACACUGCUUAUAAGUGGAUAAUAUUCCAUUGUAUUUUUAGAAGUGUAUGGUACCUUCCAGCAACUGUUAAGGCCAAACUUUUAAACAUGGGAGAAUUAAACUCAACUUUAUUACAUCUUUAGAAAGAAAUUAGAACAAGUAAAGAAGUAGCAUAAGAUAGAUCUAGUGGGAGUGGACUAAGUUUCACGCCGUGAACAACACCCCCGGCCCUUUUUACAGAAGAUUACAAAGCAAGAGGAAGCCUCUUGACCAGUCUCUUCUUCCCUACUCUUAAAGAAAGAAACUCAGUAAUAACAAGCGCUCCAAAAUUGCUGCUACCAAAUUAAAAGUUGCCCCACUCUGCUGCAGAAACUUCCAAAACUUCUCAGGUGCUGAAUGGUGCCAAGUUUAUUUCACUGGUAAAUAUUAAAGUUUGUCCACGUAAUGGUUUCCUGUGUUUACACAAGUUAAUACUGCUUGCCAAAAUAACCAUUCACUGCAUUAUCUGGUAUGAAACGGUCAUCAUUUAAUUUAUUAAUGGUUCAUCAUUCUUUUCAUAUCUUUCGUUCAUGGUUGCAUUUAUCCGUUCAUUUGUGUGUCUAGUAGUUAUUAGUUGUGUGUUUAGUCAGUAGUUUGCGUGUGUAGUUAGUAGUUAAUAAACCUUUCAUUUAUAAAAUAACUUGAUUAUGUGAUUUGUGUGUAUGGAGCAUUCCAGUCACUGUACAUGAGACAAGAACUCUGUAGCGACAUCAGCUCGAGACUAAAUUAUCAAUUGUUUUAUUGUAAAUUUAUUGAUUGACUAUCAAGAGAAGGUGAGGUGAAUUUAACGCAAGUUAAAUUCUGUUAUUUAACAUGAAUGCAGAUUUUAUUCCGAUAGCUGUAAGUGAAAGUAAAUCUGCUCCUUCUUACCAAAAUUAAGGUAGUUUGCUAUGAUCAGUUUAAUGCAUUUAAGCCUUAAUUCACUACAUUAGGCACUAUAGAUUUUGGUUUUGAAAGUACUGUUUAUGUAUUUUCUAUGUUCUUUUUAUUUGUUUUAUUGCAAGUGUUUAAAUAAGGAAACAUACUGACAAUCAUCUAUAUUUUAAUCUAAUGUGAAGUUUUAUUUGUUUACCUGAGUUAAGAGGGGGCCCAUACGCAGGUGAGCACACUAUUAGCCUGACGAGUUACACAAUCAUCGAUUUGAUGUAAAACUCAAGUCCAACAAAUCAUAGAAAUUAUCCCAAAUUUCACUUAAUCCCCAUGACCUGCUCCACCAACAUUCCGGAUCAAGUACUCAAUGGGUGAACCGUGUUCUGAGCAGGUUCACCCAGCGCGAGACUACGGCGGGAUGAGGGGAGGUGGACUCUGUUUACAUCGAUGUUGAUUGGUGCUCAAGAGCAGUCAAAGUGGAUUGACACUGUUUCCAGAUGUCGAACAUUUUAUGUGAAGAUAACCAAGAAAUGUUUUCCUCUUUGAAAUACAUUAUGAGUUCUAUUUCUGUAUGAACAUCAUAUUAGGCUUGUUUGUAUGUUAUACAGUUGAUAGGACUUCUGGUAAUUUAACGUUGCUGAUACUACAACUACAUUUGGACUUCCGGCAAAAUGGCGAACUGAGCGCACUUUAAUUUUUUUGAUAGCUCCGUUUUUUUUUUUGUCCUAAACAUUUAAAAACUAGUCCUUCUUUUUAACGCAAAACGUCUUUUAAAAGACAUUGCUGGGAAAGAAUUCUGACUGUCGAUCAUGCUGAAACCUAAACAGAAGGACAUUACUGCUGCUACAGCUCUGUUUCCGCACACUGUGGUUAUACUAGUGACGACGACAUGGGAACCUCAACGGCACGCCACCCCCUGCCCAAAACCCCCACAAAAAUUCCAGUCCCACUCAAGAAACCAAGAGACGAAGCGGAGGUAUUUAUUGCCACCAAAAACCCGGGACAGAAAAUGCCAAUCUGAGAGAGCCAGAGUCCUGGAGCUUGAGUGUUACAAACGCCGAUGGAAUUUGAAACUGCACAGGCUCAAGGAGCAAGAAAAUGAAAACACGAGAGGAAAAAGUGUCACAGAUUCUGGUCAAGAUCGCUCCACAAUGGACUGACAAGAUUGACAUCAUUGUUGACUCAGUGCAGGGAAAAAAGGAGGGGUGCAGGCCACGCCAUGUCAUCAUGCAGUUCACCAUGAGGCACUUCAGAGUGAGCUCUGGCAUCUAACCAAGGUGCGCUGGCAUCUGACCAAGGGCUCUGCAGUGUUCAAGGAACUGAAUAUAAGCUUUGCAGAGCACAUCCUACCGGCUGAGUGGGAGGCGAAAGCAGCAGUAUGGCCACAGAUAAAGCAAGCCAGAGAAGCACAUCUAGCAUAUUUCCGAGGACCAGAUGGAUAUAUAAACAGAAUAGAAAAAGAAUGGUGGGCCCCUAAUUACCUACUCAUCUAUGUAAGUUCACGACUCAAGUCACUUUACUGACCAGAUACUUGGAUCUUUUAUCAUUUCUAAAGGACAUUUCAGUUGAUUGCCUAUAAGGGGACAUUGCCUUAUGUUCCUAUUCUAAAGCAACCUUUUUCCUGCAAACAAACCUUGAGUUAAUAUUCUGAAGUUGUUCUUUAAAGUUCUGUUUUUUUAAAACUGUAUUUAUUGAACUUUUUUUAAAACAAAACAGUUACAUAACUUUUACAUACAAUAUUAAUACAAGA